rnacentral:rRNA from 1 species
AUUGAACGCUGGCGGCAUGCCUUACACAUGCAAGUCGAACGGCAGCACGGGAGCAAUCCUGGUGGCGAGUGGCGAACGGGUGAGUAAUAUAUCGGAACGUGCCCAGUCGUGGGGAUAACGUAGCGAAAGCUACGCUAAUACCGCAUACGAUCUAUGGAUGAAAGCGGGGGAUCGCAAGACCUCGCGCGAUUGGAGCGGCCGAUAUCAGAUUAGGUAGUUGGUGAGGUAAAGGCUCACCAAGCCGACGAUCUGUAGCUGGUCUGAGAGGACGACCAGCCACACUGGGACUGAGACACGGCCCAGACUCCUACGGGAGGCAGCAGUGGGGAAUUUUGGACCAAUGGGCGGCAAAGCCUGAUCCAGCAAUG